rnacentral:rRNA from 1 species
CAGCCGCCGCGGUAAAACGAAGGGUGCAAGCGUUACUCGGAAUUACUGGGCGUAAAGCGUGUGUAGGUGGUUGUUUAAGUCUGUCGUGAAAGCCCUGGGCUCAACCUGGGAAUUGCGAUGGAUACUGGGCGACUAGAGUGCGGUAGAGGAUAGUGGAAUUUCCGGUGUAGCAGUGAAAUGCGUAGAGAUCGGAAGGAACAUCUGUGGCGAAGGCGACUAUCUGGGCCAACACUGACACUGAGACACGAAAGCGUGGGGAGCAAACAGGAUUAGAUACCCGCGUAGUCCCUGUCUCUUAUAC